CGGACGGGGGCCCGCACAAGCGGUGGAGCAUGUGGUUUAAUUCGAUGAUACGCGAGGAACCUUACCUGGGCUCAAAUGUAUGUUGACGUAUUCUGAAAGGGAUACUUCUUCGGACAAUAUACAAGGUGCUGCAUGGUUGUCGUCAGCUCGUGCCGUGAGGUGUCGGGUUAAGUCCCAUAACGAGCGCAACCCCUAUCAUUAGUUGCCAUCAGGUCAAGCUGGGGACUCUAAUGAAACUGCCUACGCAAGUAGUGAGGAAGGUGGGGAUGACGUCAAAUCAGCACGGCCCUUACGUCCAGGGCUACACACGUGCUACAAUGGCCGGUACAAAGGGCAGCUACCUGGUGACAGGAUGCUAAUCUCAAAAGCCGGUCUCAGUUCGGAUCGGAGUCUGCAACCCGGCUCCGUGAAGCUGGAAUCGCUAGUAAUCGCGCAUCAGCCAUGGCGCGGUGAAUACGUUCCCGGGCCUU
rnacentral:rRNA from 1 species